rfam:Moniliophthora roreri MCA 2997 sctg_0271_0005, whole genome shotgun sequence.
GUGCCCGUAACUCAGUGGUAGAGUGUGAGAUUGCAAUCAUGGGGGGAGUUGUAUUGAUCUCGAAGCCGCGUGUUCGAACCACGCCGGGCACU